rnacentral:tRNA from 1 species
AAAAAUCUAGUUUAAAUAAAACAGUAACUUGUGGUGUUACAAAUUCUUAC